UACAGAGGUGGCAAGCGUUGUUCGGAAUUACUGGGCGUAAAGGGCGCGUAGGCGGCCUCGUAAGUCCCGUGUGAAAGCCCCCGGCUCAACUGGGGAAUUGCACGGGAAACUGCGGGGCUUGAGUUCGGGAGAGGGAAGCGGAAUUCCGGGUGUAGCGGUGAAAUGCGUAGAUAUCCGGAGGAACACCAGUGGCGAAGGCGGCUUCCUGGACCGACACUGACGCUGAGGCGCGAAAGCUAGGGGAGCAAACGGG
rnacentral:rRNA from 1 species